AGAUUGAACGCUGGCGGCAGGCCUAACACAUGCAAGUCGAGCGGCAGCACGGGUACUUGUACCUGGUGGCGAGCGGCGGACGGGUGAGUAAUGCCUAGGAAUCUGCCUGGUAGUGGGGGAUAACGCUCGGAAACGGACGCUAAUACCGCAUACGUCCUACGGGAGAAAGCGAGGGGACCUUCGGGCCUUGCGCUAUCAGAUGAG
rnacentral:rRNA from 1 species